UGGGGAAUAUUGGACAAUGGAGGGAACUCUGAUCCAGCAAUUCUGUGUGUGUGAAGAAGGUUUUAGGACUGUAAAACACUUUUAGUAGGGAAGAAAAAAAUGACGGUACCUACAGAAGAAGCAACGGCUAAAUACGUACCAGCAGCCGCGGUAAUACGUAUGUUGCGAGCGUUAUCCGGAAUUAUUGGGCUUAAAGGGCAUCUAGGCGGUAAGACAAGUUGAAGGUGAAAACCUGUGGCUCAACCAUAGGCUUGCCUACAAAACUGUUGAACUAGAGUACUGGAAAGGUGGGUGGAACUACACGAGUAGAGGUGAAAUUCGUAGAUAUGUGUAGGAAUGCCGAUGAUGAAGAUAACUCACUGGACAGAAACUGACGCUGAAGUGCGAAAGCUAGGGGAGCAAACAGG
rnacentral:rRNA from 1 species